rnacentral:piRNA from 1 species
GAAGAUUGCAGGUCCUACAGAAGU